GACGAACGCUGGCGGCGUGCCUAAUACAUGCAAGUAGAACGCUGAAGGAGGAGCUUGCUUCUCCGGAUGAGUUGCGAACGGGUGAGUAACGCGUAGGUAACCUGCCUGGUAGCGGGGGAUAACUAUUGGAAACGAUAGCUAAUACCGCAUAAGAGUAGAUGUCGCAUGACAUUUGCUUAAAAGGUGCAACUGCACCACUACCAGAUGGACCUGCGUUGUAUUAGCUAGUUGGUGAGGUAACGGCUCACCAAGGCAACGAUACAUAGCCGACCUGAGAGGGUGAUCGGCCACACUGGGACUGAGACACGGCCCAGACUCCUACGGGAGGCAGCAGUAGGGAAUCUUCGGCAAUGGACGGAAGUCUGACCGAGCAACGCCGCGUGAGUGAAGAAGGUUUUCGGAUCGUAAAGCUCUGUUGUAAGAGAAGAACGAGUGUGAGAGUGGAAAGUUCACACUGUGACGGUAUCUUACCAGAAAGGGACGGCUAACAACGUG
rnacentral:rRNA from 1 species